GAGUUUGAAGCAGUUUUGAUAUAGGAUAGUGGGCAAAUGGCAAAUGUAGAAGCCAGUGCUAAACCCUGGUCAUGUGUUUUGGGAAGCAGUUGGCUCCCAAGGAAGAACAUAGUGAGGACGUGGGCAAGACAAGAAGGGCUCUUGCUAGAAAGUGGCUUCCGGGCAGGUGAUUAGGGAUUAGAGUUUGACUUAAGAUUUAUUUUCAUUCUUCUUGUGUUGUCUGUUUUGGCUUAUAGGAUGGCCAGCCAUUGGCGGGACUGAUCCAGGAUCACAUGGUUUCAGGGGCAAGCAUGACUACUCGGGGUUGCUUUUUCACCCGGGAGCAGUAUAUGGAGCUGGUGUACCGAGGACUCACGGACAAAGUGGGGCGCGUGAAGCUCCUUUCUCCUUCCAUCCUGAAGCCCUUUCCGCUGUGGACAGGAAAACAGGUUAUGUCAACGCUGCUCAUAAAUAUAAUCCCAGAGGACCACAUCCCACUGAACUUAUCUGGAAAGGCGAAAAUCACUGGGAAAGCCUGGGUGAAGGAAACUCCUCGGUCCAUUCCUGGCUUUAACCCUGACUCAAUGUGCGAGUCCCAGGU
rnacentral:sRNA from 1 species